UUAAGUUAUUAAGGGCGCACGGUGGAUGCCUUGGCACUAGAAGCCGAUGAAGGACGUUACUAACGACGAUAUGCUUUGGGGAGCUGUAAGUAAGCGUUGAUCCAGAGAUUUCCGAAUGGGGAAACCCAGCAUGAGUUAUGUCAUGUUAUCGAUAUGUGAAUACAUAGCAUAUCAGAAGGCAGACCCGGAGAACUGAAACAUCUUAGUACCCGGAGGAAGAGAAAGAAAAAUCGAUUCCCUGAGUAGCGGCGAGCGAAACGGGAAGAGCCCAAACCAACAAGCUUGCUUGUUGGGGUUGUAGGACACUCUAUACGGAGUUACAAAAGUAUAUAUUAGACGAAUCAUCUGGAAAGUUGAAUCAAAGAAGGUAAUAAUCCUGUAGUCGAAAAUAUAUACUCUCUUGAGUGGAUCCUGAGUACGACGGAGCACGUGAAAUUCCGUCGGAAUCUGGGAGGACCAUCUCCUAAGGCUAAAUACUCUCUAGUGACCGAUAGUGAACCAGUACCGUGAGGGAAAGGUGAAAAGUACCCCGGAAGGGGAGUGAAAGAGAACUUGAAACCGUGUGCUUACAAGUAGUCAGAGCCCGUUAAUGGGUGAUGGCGUGCCUUUUGUAGAAUGAACCGGCGAGUUACGAUUUGAUGCAAGGUUAAGCAGCUAAUGUGGAGCCGUAGCGAAAGCGAGUCUGAAUAGGGCGUUUAGUAUUUGGUCGUAGACCCGAAACCAGGUGAUCUACCCUUGGUCAGGUUGAAGUUCAGGUAACACUGAAUGGAGGACCGAACCGACUUACGUUGAAAAGUGAGCGGAUGAACUGAGGGUAGCGGAGAAAUUCCAAUCGAACUUGGAGAUAGCUGGUUCUCUCCGAAAUAGCUUUAGGGCUAGCCUCAAGUGAUGAUUAUUGGAGGUAGAGCACUGUUUGGACGAGGGGCCCUUCUCGGGUUACCGAAUUCAGACAAACUCCGAAUGCCAAUCAAUUUAACUUGGGAGUCAGAACAUGGGUGAUAAGGUCCGUGUUCGAAAGGGAAACAGCCCAGACCACCAGCUAAGGUCCCAAAAUAUAUGUUAAGUGGAAAAGGAUGUGGCGUUGCCCAGACAACUAGGAUGUUGGCUUAGAAGCAGCCAUCAUUUAAAGAGUGCGUAAUAGCUCACUAGUCGAGUGACACUGCGCCGAAAAUGUACCGGGGCUAAACAUAUUACCGAAGCUGUGGAUUGUCCGUAGGACAAUGGUAGGAGAGCGUUCUAAGGGCGUCGAAGCAUGAUCGCAAGGACAUGUGGAGCGCUUAGAAGUGAGAAUGCCGGUGUGAGUAGCGAAAGACGGGUGAGAAUCCCGUCCACCGAUUGACUAAGGUUUCCAGAGGAAGGCUCGUCCGCUCUGGGUUAGUCGGGUCCUAAGCUGAGGCCGACAGGCGUAGGCGAUGGAUAACAGGUUGAUAUUCCUGUACCACCUAGUAUCGUUUUAAUCGAUGGGGGGACGCAGUAGGAUAGGCGAAGCGUGCUAUUGGAUUGCACGUCCAAGCAGUAAGACUGAGUGUUAGGCAAAUCCGGCACUCAUAAGGUCAAGCUGUGAUGGGGAGAGGAAAUUGUUUCCUCGAGUCGUUGAUUUCACACUGCCAAGAAAAGCCUCUAGAUAGAUAACAGGUGCCCGUACCGCAAACCGACACAGGUAGUCAAGAUGAGAAUUCUAAGGUGAGCGAGCGAACUCUCGUUAAGGAACUCGGCAAAAUGACCCCGUAACUUCGGGAGAAGGGGUGCUCUUUAGGGUUAACGCCCAGAAGAGCCGCAGUGAAUAGGCCCAAGCGACUGUUUAUCAAAAACACAGGUCUCUGCUAAACCGUAAGGUGAUGUAUAGGGGCUGACGCCUGCCCGGUGCUGGAAGGUUAAGAGGAGUAGUUAGCUUCUGCGAAGCUACGAAUCGAAGCCCCAGUAAACGGCGGCCGUAACUAUAACGGUCCUAAGGUAGCGAAAUUCCUUGUCGGGUAAGUUCCGACCCGCACGAAAGGCGUAACGAUUUGGGCACUGUCUCAACGAGAGACUCGGUGAAAUCAUAGUACCUGUGAAGAUGCAGGUUACCCGCGACAGGACGGAAAGACCCCGUGGAGCUUUACUGUAGCCUGAUAUUGAAAUUCGGCACAGCUUGUACAGGAUAGGUAGGAGCCUUUGAAACGUGAGCGCUAGCUUACGUGGAGGCAUUGGUGGGAUACUACCCUAGCUGUGUUGGCUUUCUAACCCGCACCACUUAUCGUGGUGGGAGACAGUGUCAGGUGGGCAGUUUGACUGGGGCGGUCGCCUCCUAAAAGGUAACGGAGGCGCUCAAAGGUUCCCUCAGAAUGGUUGGAAAUCAUUCAUAGAGUGUAAAGGCAUAAGGGAGCUUGACUGCGAGACUUACAAGUCGAGCAGGGUCGAAAGACGGACUUAGUGAUCCGGUGGUUCCGCAUGGAAGGGCCAUCGCUCAACGGAUAAAAGCUACCCCGGGGAUAACAGGCUUAUCUCCCCCAAGAGUCCACAUCGACGGGGAGGUUUGGCACCUCGAUGUCGGCUCAUCGCAUCCUGGGGCUGUAGUCGGUCCCAAGGGUUGGGCUGUUCGCCCAUUAAAGCGGUACGCGAGCUGGGUUCAGAACGUCGUGAGACAGUUCGGUCCCUAUCCGUCGUGGGCGUAGGAAAUUUGAGAGGAGCUGUCCUUAGUACGAGAGGACCGGGAUGGACAUACCUCUGGUGUACCAGUUGUCGUGCCAACGGCAUAGCUGGGUAGCUAUGUAUGGACGGGAUAAGUGCUGAAAGCAUCUAAGCAUGAAGCCCCCCUCAAGAUGAGAUUUCCCAACUUCGGUUAUAAGAUCCCUCAAAGAUGAUGAGGUUAAUAGGUUCGAGGUGGAAGCGUGGUGACACGUGGAGCUGACGAAUACUAAUCGAUCGAAGACUUAAUCAA
rnacentral:rRNA from 1 species